AUACGUAGGGGGCGAGCGUUGUCCGGAAUGAUUGGGCGUAAAGGGCGCGUAGGCGGCGCGGUAAGUCUGGAGUGAAAGUCCUGCUUUCAAGGUGGGAAUUGCUUUGGAUACUGCCGCGCUUGAGUGCAGGAGAGGUUAUCGGAAUUCCCGGUGUAGCGGUGAAAUGCGUAGAGAUCGGGAGGAACACCAGUGGCGAAGGCGGGUAACUGGACUGCAUCUGACGCUGAGGCGCGAAAGUGUGAGGAGCAAACAGGAUUAGAUACCCUGGUAGUCCACACUGUAAACGAUGAAUGCUAGGUGUAAGAGGUAUCGUCCCCUAUUGUGCCGACGUCAACGCAUUAAGCAGUCCGCCUGGGGAGUACGGCCGCAAGGUUGAGACUCAAAUGAAUUGACGGGC
rnacentral:rRNA from 1 species